rnacentral:rRNA from 1 species
GUCGAACGAAGAGCGAUGGAAGCUUGCUUCUAUCAAUCUUAGUGCCGUACGGGUGAGUAACGCGUAAUCAACCUGCCCUUCAGAGGGGGACAACAGUUGGAAACGACUGCUAAUACCGCAUACGAUCUAAACUCGGCAUCGAGGAUAGAUGAAAGGUGGCCUCUACAUGUAAGCUAUCACUGAAGGAGGGGAUUGCGUCUGAUUAGCUAGUUGGAGGGGUAACGGCCCACCAAGGCGAUGAUCAGUAGCCGGUCUGAGAGGAUGAACGGCCACAUUGGGACUGAGACACGGCCCAGACUCCUACGGGAGGCAGCAGUGGGGAAUCUUCCGCAAUGGACGAAAGUCUGACGGAGCAACGCCGCGUGAGUGAUGACGGCCUUCGGGUUGUAAAGCUCUGUUAAUCGGGACGAAAGGCCUUCUUGCGAAUAGUGAGAAGGAUUGACGGUACCGGAAUAGAAAGCCACGGCUAACUACGUGCCAGCAGCCGCGGUAAUACGUAGGUGGCAAGCGUUGUCCGGAAUUACUGGGCGUAAAGCGCACGCAGGCGGUUUGUUAAGUCAGAUGUGAAAUCCCCGGGCCCAACCUGGGAACUGCAUCUGAUACUGGCAAGCUUGAGUCUCGUAGAGGGGGGUAGAAUUCCAGGUGUAGCGGUGAAAUGCGUAGAGAUCUGGAGGAAUACCGGUGGCGAAGGCGGCCCCCU